AGUGAACGCUGGCGGCGUGCUUAACACAUGCAAGCCGAACGAGAACGGGAUAUAGCUUGCUAUAUUUGUCAGCUAAGGGGCGCACGGGUGAGUAAUGUAUAGAUAACCUCCCCUCUAGAAAGGAAUAACAGUUGGAAACGACUGAUAAUGCCCUAUACGCCUCUCAUACAUAAGUAGCCAAGGGAAACGAUUUAGUGCUAGAGGAUGGGUCUGUAUGGUAUCAGCUUGUUGGUGAGGUAAUGGCUCACCAAGGCUAUGACGCCUAACUGGUUUGGGAGGAUGAUCAGUCACACUGGAACUGAGACACGGUCCAGACUCCUACGGGAGGCAGCAGUGGGGAAUAUUGCACAAUGGACGAAAGUCUGAUGCAGCAACGCCGCGUGGAGGAUGACACAUUUCGGUGCGUAAACUCCUUUUAUAUAGGAAGAUAAUGACGGUACUAUAUGAAUAAGCACCGGCUAACUCCGUGCCAGCCGCCGCAGUAA
rnacentral:rRNA from 1 species